CAGUCGCCGCGGGAAUACGUAGGUGGCAAGCGUUGUCCGGAAUUAUUGGGCGUAAAGGGCUCGCAGGCGGUUUCUUAAGUCUGAUGUGAAAGCCCCCGGCUCAACCGGGGAGGGUCAUUGGAAACUGGGAAACUUGAGUGCAGAAGAGGAGAGUGGAAUUCCACGUGUAGCGGUGAAAUGCGUAGAGAUGUGGAGGAACACCAGUGGCGAAGGCGACUCUCUGGUCUGUAACUGACGCUGAGGAGCGAAAGCGUGGGGAGCGAACGGGAUUAGAUACCCCAGUAGUCCCUGUCUCUUAUAA
rnacentral:rRNA from 1 species